rnacentral:rRNA from 1 species
AUUGAACGCUGGCGGCAUGCUUUACACAUGCCAGUCGAACGGUAACAGGCCGCAAGGUGCUGACGAGUGGCGAACGGGUGAGUAAUGCAUCGGAACGUGCCCAGUCGUGGGGGAUAACUACUCGAAAGAGUAGCUAAUACCGCAUACGAUCUAUGGAUGAAAGCGGGGGACCGUAAGGCCUCGCGCGAUUGGAGCGGCCGAUGUCAGAUUAGGUAGUUGGUGGGGUAAAGGCUCACCAAGCCAACGAUCUGUAGCUGGUCUGAGAGGACGACCAGCCACACUGGGACUGAGACACGGCCCAGACUCCUACGGGAGGCAGCAGUGAGGAAUUUUGGACAAUGGGCGCAAGCCUGAUCCAGCAAUGCCGCGUGCAGGAAGAAGGCCUUCGGGUUGUAAACUGCUUUUGUACGGAACGAAACGGCUCUGGUUAAUACCCGGGGCUAAUGACGGUACCGUAAGAAUAAGCACCGGCUAACUACGUG